UUCGAGCGUCAUUUCAACCAAUCAAGCCUCGGCUUGGUCUUGGGGUUUGCGGUCCCGCAUCCCCUAAACUCAGUGGCAGUGCGAUUAAGCUCUGAGCGUAGUAAUUCUUCUCGCUAUAGGGUCUCGGUCGUGACUUGCCAGCAACCCCCCAUUUUUAUCAGGUUGACCUCGGAUCAGGUAGGGAUACCCGCUGAACUUAA
rnacentral:misc_RNA from 1 species